GCGGCGGACGGGUGAGUAACACGUGGGCAACCUGCCCUGCAGACUGGGAUAACUUCGGGAAACCGGAGCUAAUACCGGAUAACACCGAAAACCGCAUGGUUUUCGGUUGAAAGGCGGCUUUUACCUGUCACUGCAGGAUGGGCCCGCGGCGCAUUACCUAGUUGGUGAGGUAACGGCUCACCAAGGCGACAAUGCGUAGCCAACCUGAAAGGGUGACCGGCCACACUGGGACUGAGACACGGCCCAAACUCCUACGGGAGGCAGCAGUAGGGAAUCUUCCGCAAUGGACGAAAGUCUGACGGAGCAACGCCGCGUGAGCGAAGAAGGUCUUCGGAUCGUAAAGCUCUGUUGUCAGGGAAGAACAAGUGCCGUUCGAACAGGGCGGUACCUUGACGGUACCUGACGAGGAAGCCACGGCUAACUACGUGCCAGCAGCCGCGGUAAUAC
rnacentral:rRNA from 1 species